CAAAUUAAAGCUUUAUUAGUAAAGUAUUUUAUUUACAUUAAAAUGAAAUCGUGCAAUUCGAUAUAAUUUGA
rnacentral:tRNA from 1 species